ensembl:lincRNA
GUGUCCCGAUGGCCCAGCAGCGUCUCAUCAGUAAAGUUCACCUGGCCAGGCGCAGUGGCUCACGCCUGUCAUCCCAGCACUUUGCGAGGCCGAGGCAGGCAGAUCACAAUGUCAAGAGAUCAAGACCAUCCUGGCCAGCAUGGUGAAACUUCAUCUCUACUAACAAUACAAAAAUUAGCUGGGCAUGGUGGCACAUGCCUGUAGUCCCAGCUACUCGGGUGGCUGAGGCAGGAGAAUCGCUUGAACCCAGGAGGUGGAGGUUGCAGUGAGCCGAGAUCACACCACUGCACUCCAGUCUGUGUGACAGAGCGAGACUCCAUCUCAAAAAAAAAAAAAAAAACAACAAAAACAGCAGCAACAACAACAAAAACCCACCUCACCUCUGCUGCUACCUCUCAUGCACAGAGCCAACUCGCACGAUAUUUCUGAUGGAGAGUCAUCCAGUCUGUGGAAAGUUUUCACGUCCUGCCGAGAAACCCUCUUCACUGAGACCUGGCCCUCUUCAUUAAGAAAUUCCUGCUUUGUAUAACAAAUGGGUUUUUUUUCAAUGCUCAGACACUCAUCAUCGUCCAAUCUCCUGGAGCCAUGUGGAGGAAAGCACUCCACCUCCCUCAGAACAGAGUUGCAAUAACCGAGGACAGCUUCGACGACUCUCAGCAUCUUCUUCAGGCCAAGCCAGAGCAAACUGGCUCUGCCGUCCUCCGCAGACUGAGCAGUGUCUCCCAACAGCACUCACGUACCACCCACCUCUUCACCUGUGUGGCUGGGCUGACCCUGCCUUCAAGGAACACUUGGCUGAGCUCAUCCCUGACUUGAACAUGGACUUUGCAUGCUACUACACUUUGACCACCAGCCUGACAGUGGCAAGAGAGGAAAAUUAAGGCCCAGGCAGAGGUUUGGGGACCCCUGGCUUCUCGUGCACCACCAGCACCAUUGCCAUUUUCAGAAAGCUGCCUCCUUCCUGGGUCCUCUGAGACAUCAGGUUGAGCAGUAUUGUGGCUGUCAUCAUGAACCUUGCCAUCAGGGACAGGCUCCAGUGUGUUGGAAAUCACAGCCAGGAGACAGAUUCAAGCCACCUGCGGAGGAGGAGAGCAGAAAACCCUGUGAUCAACAAAUGAAGCAAGAUGUCCACUGCCCAUGACUGAAACAAGCUGAAGCCAUCUGGUUGGAAAGGAAAUGAAAUGAAGCUUGCUGGUAGAGCCAUCUCACAAACGACCUGGACCUUCAGGAAGAAAUGGAAUCAGCUGUUACAAUUAGCCCUGAGGAAAGAUUGAUGACUUGAGGUCACCUGCGCUGCAUAACAAAUGGAUCUGGGAGUCUCCUGGGCUUGUGGGAUGGAAGCCUCCAUCCCUGAGUUCCCUUGAUCUUAAAGACGAUCUUGAUUUUCAGUGCUUUCACCUGGGCACAGGUACGUUCGUGAUUAAAAUCAACUGUGUUAAAAGAAGACACUAAACAUCUUACGUGACCUUGGCAUUUCAGGAUCAUUCACAAAGAAAUUUGCAUCCUUUAUCUUCACAGCAGUUCUGUGCCAUCAUUUUCCCUCCUUUUACAGAUGAUGUUCAGAAAGGGUUGUGUCUUCCCCAGUGUAUUAGGCCCAUAGCACCAACAGAAGCAGGAUUUGGAGUCUGUUCUUGUGAUUAUGCAUGUAGGAUUUUUUUUUCACUUGUAUUUUCCAAGUACUGUCUUUUUAUUUUAUUUUAUUUUUUAUUAUUUUUUUGAGAUGGAGUCUCACUCUGUCACCCAGGCUGGAGUGCAGUGGUGCAAUCUUGGCUCUCUGCAAUGUCUGCCUCCUGGGUUCAAGUGAUUCUCAUGCCUCAGCCUCCCCAGUAGCUGAGACUACAGGUGUGCGCCACCACACCUCGCUAAUUUUUGUAUUUUUAGGAGUGACGGGGUUUCACCAUGUUGGCCAGGAUGGUCUCGAACUCCUGACCUCAGGUGAUCCACCCGCCUGCUCUACACCAAGUUCAUUCAGGAAAUUGCUAAGUGUGCAUUUGCUGUUCUCAAACCAUAAGCAUGCCUCCAAGAAAAAGAAUGAACAAAGGGAAAAACUACUCUGGUAAAAGUGUAGGAUAAAGAGCAUUUCAUAUUCAAGAUGCUCCUCUGCAUCCUGGGACUUCUCUGCUGCCCCCUCCCCUUCACCAGCCUCCUUCCAUGCCCUUUGAAGAGAAUGUGAAUACACGUGCAUGUGGCAUAGCAGGUAUAUUGCACAAUAUUGUUUGGAAAUACUUUCAGGUCUCAUGCCCAAGUUCUUUGAUGUGUGUUAUUUAAACUUAAGAGCAACGGCUGAAGAUGAAAGAGUAAAAAAGUCCCCUUGUGCUAUUUCUUGUAAAAAGUCAUAAUUGUGUGUCAUAUGUGAUGAUAAAGUGAGUCAGCAAACACAAAUAUCUCCAGAGAAUCCUUUAUUCUGCUAUUUUCCACCUAGUAAAAUUGUCUGAUGGAGGGAAGGGGAUAUUAACUAGAAUUCUGAUUCUAAAGAAAUCAUGUUUGUUUGUCAGUGUUAUUUGUUUUGGGAAACCAAUAAGAAAUCAAGUCAGCCAACCCUUUAACUAUCUGGAAAGACAUUGCAAUGCAUUAAGAACUGAAGUAUUGUAAGUCAGUAUUGACCAUCAGGACUUUGAAGCAAAGAAUAGUUGUCCAUGUCUUCAGACAGGUCAAGGAGUUCAGAGGAAAACAUUCGGGAGUGGGCACAAGAUAAUCUGAAUAUGGGUUAAAAGAUGCAAG